AGGCAGCUAAGCUGGAUACAGCGGGACAAAGGACUAAAGAAAAAGAAAUGUGACCAUUCUGGUUGUGCAAAUGAGGACUUAGAAUCAGUUGUUCAGCUGAAGUGCUUGGAUGUAGGCUGUCUUCUUUGACAUCAUUUGUAGCCCAGCUAGCCAAGUAGAACAGCUGCACAGGUCAAUGCAUUUUGAAGCAGAUGGGGCAGUAAUUCAUGAAAAAUAGUGUUUAGAAAAGGUUUAAUGAAGAAAAUGGCCCUGGCUCUGAUGGGGAUUACCUUGAUUUUUGCCCUGUUACAUCAAAGGUUAUCUUGGCAGAGCUCAGUGUGGCCAAUGGAUCUUGGAUGCUCCUGGAAGUCAUAACAGCUAUGUACAGGCUGCGUGGUGUGAGGAAGCAGAGGGACAGCAAGAGCUGGACUCGCUGCAGAAAAGGUGUGUGCUUGAAUGUAACAGCCAAGCCAAAGUAAGCAGACCUGAAAAUACUUUCACCUGGCAUGGUCAGCUUGAACUUAUUUGGAAGUCAGCAGCUGUAUGGUUAAUAUUAAAUAAAGACAUGAAGACCUGCUGGGGACAUAUGGAUGAAAUUCAAGAAUAGAACCAGAACAGGUUGCACUGUGACUGAUGUGUGCAAACAAGCAAGCUCUGCACUGAGAAGGCAAGAAAGCAGCAGGCCAAACACUAAAAGAAUCCUGAAGUUUUAAGAAGAACCAAUGUUUUGGCCCUCAGGCAUUUCCCUUUUCUGCUUAGGAGUGCCUACAGCCAAUGCUGACUUGGUUACAAAUGUGAAAGCACCGUUUGUAUGAAUACCACAGAUGCUCUUAUUUCUGAGGAAUGAGAAGUAAUUCUAUGGCCAAUUCUCAUGAUGCUGAUUUUUAAAACAGAUCAAACAUGGAAACAGCAGGGGAAAAAAUCAAAGAUGUCUUUCCUAUUUAAUACAGACUCUUGGAUGGAGUAACCAUCCAGAAUUAGAUUUCAGAAGUAUGAUCCCUUUUCUUUGCAGAAUGAAACACUAUAGACUUACUGUACCAGGGGAGAAAGCAGGCUCUCUCCUAGUGCAUGCUCUGUUACAUAAAGUGCUCAGACAAGCUGAUUAAUCUAUGGGAGUUGGUAAUCAUUUGACUCUGGAUAUUUUGUUCAAAUGUUUUUUUCAGUGAUUCAUGAAGCUCUUAUCGGAAUUCAAAAAGCACUUCACGAAUCAACGAGGAGCUUAAAAAAAAAUUAGCAGUAAUGAGCUCAUUUCCAUAGAAAUAGGACUAGACUCACUGGUGGGUCAGACUGUUUUCUGCACUUCCACUUCCAGUAUUUUCCUCAAUUCUUCUCCAUUUAUUUCAUGCAUCAUUAUCUUCUGGUUUUUGUAUAUCCCAACCAUACCAUUUGGCUUUUUGUUCUCUAACCAACAACUGUCACUUCGAAGUAUUUCAAAAUGGUGGUUAAAAAAUGGUCCUCCAUAUUUCACUCAAGAAAUUUUAGAUUUUUUUGUCGUUUUGAAAGCCACUAUUCAAGACAGUUUCCUCAACAAAUUACAAAUCAUAGUUUGAAGGACUAUUAAGCAAAAAACUAUAAUGCCCAAGCCUCUCAAUUUCUGCUGGAUUAGCAAAGUGUUUUAAUGAUACUGCAUUUGUAUUCUUUCAGUUUCCUUUCAUGAAACAUCAAAGAAGAAACACAGAAUGCAUCUUUCAUAUUCCAGACGUACCACAAUACUUCAGUGUUUUCCGUUUCUUCAGAUUCACUGCUAACCAAGAUGAAAGCUGAGGUCUUGUGAGCAAAACCUAAGCCAUCUGAAAAGAAAUGGUAUCCCUUUGAGGUUCUCAGUGCGUUGGAAAGAGGGAAUUGCUUACAGGUUUGCUGUAUUGCACCACACAGCUUUUAUAUAUAAACACUUGCAUGUAUACCACAGCUAAGACUUGCUUUGGCAGGUUCCAGAGAAAGAACAUUGGGGUCAUGUUCGACAGGCUGGUGUAGAAGGUCACACAAUGGUGCUGGAGAUGUUUCAUGGAUUGUCUUCCAGGAGAUGAAGAAGGAACAAGAAAGAGAAUUCUUCUGGCUUGAAAUCAUCACCUGCAUGAAAGAAAAACCCACCAAAAAACUGAAAAGGUGUGCUGAGCCCCCAUCAGGGCUAUAGGAGCAGCUGCGGGUGUCAAAGCUUGUGAAAACAUGCUACAUUCACUGUUGUCCCUACUGCCAGGUUACAUUGAUAGGAAUGGCUCAGGGAUGCCCUCAGAAAAUGCAGACUUUUGGACUGAGAGGGAUUCUCCACUGGCUACUAGCAAUGUGCUGUCUGUCUUAUGUGCAUGUGCAGUUCAGGAUACACUACCUGAGACACCCACAGGCUUUUGAGAAGGACCAUGACUCUCAAGCAGCUCCAAGGC